UGUCAUGAGAUGUUGUCACUUGUUAU
rnacentral:piRNA from 1 species